rnacentral:misc_RNA from 1 species
GUGUACUGGCGGGACCGGUUCGCGUGCCCGACCAGCAAGCCGUGCUGAGUCGACCGGCCGGCUUGGGAGGCGUCGGUUCGACUUGUCCAGUUACUUCCCGCUUUGCGCGGGAUGGUGAUCGUUAAUAAGUGCGAAGGCAGCGCGCGAACAAGAUUUCCCCUGAUCUCGCGCCUCUGCCGAAGCAGAUCCCGCAGCCUCAAGGCCCCGGGAGCAUCCGAGCGCGUGCUCGGACCGAAGAUUCCGGUUUACUCGGCUCUUCGCCUGUCCCGCUAUGUGGACACCGCGCGCACCAGCCGCGCGGCAUAACAGUUCAUGGUCAUCCGGACGCCCACCCGCGAAGGGCGGCACGUGCGCAGCUACCCAACGGCGGCUAUCCCACGAGUGACAGACGGACUCCAUGUGUUGCGGUCGACCUCUGGGGUCGACACCCGCCGGAGCGACCGGCGAUGCGCGACGCUCAUGGCGUCGCUCUCAGACGCCCGCUGACGAGAGCGGGUGAUGAUUCAGGGGCCUGCGGUCCCGGCCACUUGGGCAAGUGCCGGAAAAGGGGGACGACGUGACUCAUCCGCACGCAGGACAACUCAGUGGUAACGAACUCUAAGGCGCUUCUCGCCGCGCAGCGGGUGAUGGGCGCUCGCCCGUAACGGAACCACCGUUGACUCGGUCCAAAUCAUCGAACUGAUCGCCGACAGAAGUCAAGCGAAUCUUCCGUUCAAGUGAUGAAUGAGUUGUGGACAACCCCGCGCCCCUUGAUCCGUCUUGCGGAACUAGUACCUCAGGUUCGGAAACGCGCGAGACGAACAACGUUAGUGGCCUCAUGAAGCCGCGUUAGCUCCCCCAAGAAUUGGAAAGGAUCGCUUAGUGGCUCUCGGUGGCACGUGGGAGCCACUUCACCGGCAAAACGGCCCAAUAUCCGCUCCAUUCCGGGUUGUGGCGGCCUGUCGUGCCGCGCUAGCCUUGGCGCAACCUUGGAGGCAACCUCAUAGAACGAGCGGCGCUCUGUUCGAUCGAUCUGGCAUACGACUUCA